AUUGAACGCUGGCGGCAUGCCUUACACAUGCAAGUCGAGCGGCAGCGCGGGAGCAAUCCUGGCGGCGAGUGGCGAACGGGUGAGUAAUAUAUCGGAACGUGCCCAUUAGUGGGGGAUAGCCCGGCGAAAGCCGGAUAAAUACCGCAUACGACCUGAGGGUGAAAGCGGGGGAUCGCAAGACCUCGCGCUAUUGGAGCGGCCGAUAUCAGAUUAGCUAGUUGGUGGGGUAAAGGCCUACCAAGGCAACGAUCUGUAGUUGGUCUGAGAGGACGACCAGCCACACUGGGACUGAGACACGGCCCAGACUCCUACGGGAGGCAGCAGCGGGGAAUUUUGGACAAUGGGCGCAAGCCUGAUCCAGCAAUGCCGCGUGCAGGAAGAAGGCCUUCGGGUUGUAAACUGCUUUUGUCAGGGAAGAAAUCCUUUGGGCUAAUACCUCGGAGGGAUGACGGUACCUGAAGAAUAAGCACCGGCUAACUACGUGCCAGCAGCCGCCGUAA
rnacentral:rRNA from 1 species